GAUAAACGCUGGCGGCGUGCUUAACACAUGCAAGUCGAACGAAGUUUUUCCUUCGUGUGCAACUUAGUGGCGGCCGGGUGAGUAACGCGUGGUUAACCUGCCCUGUACAGGGGGACAACAGCUUGAAACGGCUGCUAAUACCGCAUAAGCCCUUAUCCCUGCAUGGUGCUUAGGGUACACGAGCAAUCCGGUACAGGAUGGACCCGCGUAUGAUUAGCCAGUUGGCAGGGUAACGGCCUACCAAAGCGACGAUCAGUAGCCGAUCUGAGAGGAUGUACGGCCACAUUGGGACUGAGACACGGCCCAGACUCCGACGGGAGGCAGCAGUGGGGAAUAUUGCACAAUGGAGGAAACUCUGAUGCAGCGACGCCGCGUGAGUGAAGAAGUAUUUCGGUAUGUAAAGCUCUAUCAGCAGGGAAGAAAAUGACGGUACCGGACUAAGAAGCACCGGCUAAAUACGUG
rnacentral:rRNA from 1 species